UUUGCUGAUAGUCCUAAAAUCAGCCGUGGUGAAGAUUUCUGGAGAAGAUUCUCACUAAGUAGGACUGGCCUCAAACUUGUGAUCUUCCUGCCUCAAAAAGGAAGGGACUACAGGCACAUGCUAUUCACCCAGUCAAAAACAUUCAAAGAAGUUCUUAGCAGCAUUGUUCCUGGUAUAAAGAACUGAACCCAUUCAAAAGUCCAUCAACAGAAGACUGCAAACUAACUGGUAAGUGGACACAAUUGAAUAAUACCCAGCAAUAAAAAUAACUGGAUGAUAGCUACGAGCCUCAACAUGGAAGAAUUGGAUCUGGGAAGUGAUGUUGAGGAGAAAAAAAAAAAAAACAAAGCAAAGUAACAAUUUUCAGAUGAAUACAUGCAGUUAUGAUACCAUUUCUACAAACUUCAAAAACAAGCAAAACAAAGAAUGUAUACAUACA